rnacentral:rRNA from 1 species
GGGGGCAACCCCUUGAGAGUGGCGAACGGGUGAGUAAUAUAUCGGAACGUGCCCAGUCGUGGGGGAUAACGUAGCGAAAGUUACGCUAAUACCGCAUACGAUCUAUGGAUGAAAGCGGGGGACCGUAAGGCCUCGCGCGAUUGGAGCGGCCGAUAUCAGAUUAGGUAGUUGGUGGGGUAAAGGCUCACCAAGCCAACGAUCUGUAGCUGGUCUGAGAGGACGACCAGCCACACUGGAACUGAGACACGGUCCAGACUCCUACGGGAGGCAGCAGUGGGGAAUUUUGGACAAUGGACGCAAGUCUGAUCCAGCCAUUCCGCGUGCAGGAUGAAGGCCCUCGGGUUGUAAACUGCUUUUGUACGGAACGAAAAGGCUUCUCUUAAUACGAGGAGCUCAUGACGGUACCGUAAGAAUAAGCACCGGCUAACUACGUGCCAGCAGCCGCGGUAAUACGUAGGGUGCAAGCGUUAAUCGGAAUUACUGGGCGUAAAGCGUGCGCAGGCGGUUAUGUAAGACAGAGGUGAAAUCCCCGGGCUCAACCUGGGAACUGCCUUUGUGACUGCAUAGCUAGAGUACGGUAGAGGGGGAUGGAAUUCCGCGUGUAGCAGUGAAAUGCGUAGAUAUGCGGAGGAACACCGAUGGCNANNNCAAUCCCCUGGACCUGUACUGACGCUCAUGCACGAAAGCGUGGGGAGCAAACANGAUUANAUACCCUNNNAGUCCACGCCCUAAACGAUGUCAACUGGUUGUNNNGUCUUCACUGACUCANUAACGAANCUAACGCGUGAANUUGACCGCCUGGGNAGUACGGCCNCNNNGUU